rnacentral:rRNA from 1 species
UACGAAGGGGGGCUAGCGUUGCUCGGAAUCACUGGGCGUAAAGGGUGUGUAGGCGGUUGCUUAAGUUUGGUGUGAAAUCUCCCGCUUAACCGGGAGGUGCGCCGGAAUACUGAGUGACUUCGAGUGCGGGAGAGGAAAGUGGAAUUCCUGGUGUAGCGGUGAAAUGCGUAGAGUAUCAGGAGGAACACCGGUGGUGUAGACGGCUUUCUGGACCGUAACUGACGCUGAGACACGGAAAGCCGUGGGUAGCAAACAGG